AUGAACGCUGGCGGCGUGGAUAAGGCAUGCAAGUCGAACGGGCACCUUCGGGUGCCAGUGGCGAACGAGUUAGUAACGCCCUGGUAUCUACCGUUUAGCUGGAGAUAACCCGCCGAAAGGUGGGCUAAUACCCAAUAGUCCCGCAAGGGUAAAGGAGCAAUCCGCUUAACGAGGAGCCUAGGUCCAAUCAGCUUGUUGGUGUGGUAAUGGCGCACCAAGGCUACGACUGGUAGGGGGGCUGAGAGGCUGAUCCCCAACGACGGCACUGAGACACGGGCCGUACACCUACGGGUGGCAGCAGUCGAGAAUAUUCCACAAUGGGCGAAAGCCUGAUGGAGCGACGCCGCGUGCAGGACGAAGGUCUUCGGAUCGUAAACUGCUUUUCUACGGGAUAAAGACUUCGGUUUGAUAGUACCGUAGGAAUAAGAGGUUGCUAACUCUGUGCCAGCAGCAGCGGUAAUACAGAGACCUCAAGCGUUAUCCGGAUUUAUUGGGCGUAAAGAGCGGGUAGGAGGCCCGGUGCGUCUUUUGUAAAAUCUCACCGCUUAACGGUGAGCUCGCAAAGGAUACGACCGGACUAGAGGGUACCAGAGGAUGAUGGAACACAUGGUGUAGGGGUGAAAUCCGUUGAUAUCAUGUGGAACACCGAAGGCGAAGGCAAUCAUCUGGGGUAUUCCUGACUUUGAGCCGCGAAAGCGUGGGGAGCAAAAAGGAUUAGAUACCCUUGUAGUCCACGCCCUAAACGAUGUCUACUAGCUGUCGGAAGUAUCGACCCUUUCGGUGGCGUAGCUAACGCGUUAAGUAGACCGCCUGGGAAGUACGGUCGCAAGACUAAAACUCAAAGGAAUAGACGGGGACUCGCACAAGCGGUGGAUCAUGUGGUUUAAUUCGACAUUACACGAGGAACCUUACCAGGGCUAGACAUCCUAGCGAAUGCAGAGGGAAACCUUUGCAGUCUUUGGAUUUAUUCAGGGACGGUAGGACAGGUGCUGCACGGUCGUCGUCAGUUCGUGGCGUGAGCUGUUCCCUUAAGUGGGGUAACGAACGCAACCCACGCCCUAUGUUACAAGUGUCAUAGGGGACUGUCCGCUCUAAGCGGAAGGAAGGUGUGGAUGACGUCAGAUCAGCGUGGCCCUUGAUGCCCUGGGCUACACACAUGAUACAAUGGUCAAGACAAAGGGUUGCCAAGCCGUAAGGUGGAGCUAAUCCCAUAAACUUGGCCCCAGUUCGGAUUGAGGGCUGAAACUCGCCCUCAUGAAGUUGGAAUCGCUAGUAAUCGCGGAUCAGCUAUGCCGCGGUGAAUACGUUCUCGAGUCCUGUACUCACCGCCCGUCACACCAAGGGAGCUGGUAGCGGAUAGAGCCUCAUUAUGUGGGGUGAGUCUGAGAUCAGUGACAGGGGUG
rnacentral:rRNA from 1 species